UACGUAGGGUGCAAGCGUUAAUCGGAAUUACUGGGCGUAAAGCGUGCGCAGGCGGUCUUGCAAGACAGGUGUGAAAUCCCCGGGCUUAACCUGGGAACUGCACUUGUGACUGCAAGGCUGGAGUACGGCAGAGGGGGAUGGAAUUCCGCGUGUAGCAGUGAAAUGCGUAGAUAUGCGGAGGAACACCGAUGGCGGAAGGCAGGUCUCUGGGGCCACUACU
rnacentral:rRNA from 1 species